rnacentral:ncRNA from 1 species
AUCUUCGGGGCGGGGUGAAAUUCCCCACCGGCGGUAAAGUCCGCGAACGCAUUGCGUAAGAUUCGGUGAAAUUCCGAAACCGACGGUAUAGUCCGGAUGAAAGAAGAU